GCGAAUAGCCACCCUCGUCGGGAUGUUC
rnacentral:sRNA from 1 species